AUCCCAUGAUUAGGGCAUUUUCUCAGUAAGUCCUUGAACCUCUCCCAUGCUUCAUACAGAGAUUCACUGUCCUGCUGGGUGAAGUUAUUGAUAUCAGCUCUCAACUU